UGGGGAAUAUUGCACAAUGGAGGAAACUCUGAUGCAGCAACGCCGCGUGAAGGAAGAAGGUCUUCGGAUUGUAAACUUCUGUUUUUAGUGACGAAGGAAGUGACGGUAGCUAAAGAGGAAGCCACGGCUAACUACGUGCCAGCAGCCGCGGUAAUACGUAGGUGGCAAGCGUUGUCCGGAUUUACUGGGUGUAAAGGGUGCGCAGGCGGGACUGCAAGUUGGAUGUGAAAUACCGGGGCUUAACCCCGGAGCUGCAUCCAAAACUGUAGUUCUUGAGUGAAGUAGAGGUAAGCGGAAUUCCGAGUGUAGCGGUGAAAUGCGUAGAUAUUCGGAGGAACACCAGUGGCGAAGGCGGCUUACUGGGCUUUAACUGACGCUGAGGCACGAAAGCAUGGGUAGCAAACAGG
rnacentral:rRNA from 1 species